rnacentral:rRNA from 1 species
UACGAAGGGGGCUAGCGUUGCUCGGAAUCACUGGGCGUAAAGCGCACGUAGGCGGAUUGUUAAGUCAGGGGUGAAAUCCUGGAGCUCAACUCCAGAACUGCCUUUGAUACUGAAGAUCUUGAGUUCGGGAGAGGUGAGUGGAACUGCGAGUGUAGAGGUGAAAUUCGUAGAUAUUCGGAAGAACACCAGUGGCGAAGGCGGCUCACUGGACCGGUAUUGACGCUGAGUGAGCGAAAGCCAGGGGAGCAAACGGG